rnacentral:RNase_P_RNA from 1 species
GUAGUGCUCCGGCUCUGCCGCUGGCAUUUUAUGCGAGAGGAAAGUCCGGGCAGCAUAGAGCACUUCACUUCCGAAAAUAGAAGCUAUUGGUGACAGUAGGUGUCGACAGAAGAAAAUAACCGCCUUUUUUGAAACUUGCAAGUCUUGACUUGUAAUGUCUUUAAGGUAAGGGUGAGAAGGUGGUGUAAGAGACCACCAGAUGGCGGGUGAUCGUCAUGCUGUGUCAUCUGGAGGCUGCAAGUUCAUGUAUACCGCAGGCAAAGAGCUGCUCGCUUGAUUAACUUCGGUUUACUGCGGAGGGUAGAACGCUUGAGCCAUGAGGUGACUCAUGGACUAGAUAAAUGACAGAGCUUCAUAUUUUUGUAUGAAUACGGAACCCGGCUUAUCAGAGCACUACUUUC